UAAUAAGUGUUUAUGGCACUUUUUAAAUCCAUAUCCACCUUGUGUGCAAUGUCCGUCGAUCUUCUUCAUGGAGAUCGACCAAACAUCAACCUUUAUCUUUUAACUCUUUGUCUGAAAAUAUUAUGAAUAAACAAUUCAAAAUA
rnacentral:misc_RNA from 1 species